CGUGCCUGUCCCACAGUGAGGCAGAUCUGUACUCACCAGCUCUUUGAACUUGAAUAAACCGUGUUCCGGUACCGGACUGGCUUCAUUCCCGUCCGCCACAGGGGACCUUUCCGGUGUCUCCUCGGUCUUUCCGCUGCAAAACCCACGGGCUUUGGAGGACAACAGACACCUGACCGCCGACCUCUCGUGACCUCGAAGCACGGCUUCUUGCGCGUGCCAAGGUGUCCCUUUUACCUGCUGGAGGAUCCCGGUGCAGCACGCGACGCGGUUGUCAGUCCCCUUGAGAGUGAAGAACCGCGAGCCGCUAACCAGGGACUGUUUCAACCUCGCGCAGUCAGUAAUAGGUGCGUGUCUGCACCGCCGCCAUGACGCAGACUCGAACCAACACACGCCCGCACGCGUCGCGGGCACCGGGCCGCGGACGUUUGCUGCGUUGCGGCACAACGGAGCGGAAGUCCUCCGUAAACACAACAUCAUCAUCUUCACGAGCCCUCCGGUACCGACCGGUCCGUCAUCGUUUCCAUUAUAAAUUCUCAGAUUCUGACGAUCAGAACCGACGGACUGCCAGCUCAAGCCAGCAGGCUGCCAUGUUGCCGUAAACUGAUCCAGCGCACGACGUCGUAAAAUCCCCGAGAGACCCUCUUCAUUCAUCCCGAACACUGACCUUGUAGUGAGGUCUGCAGGAAGGAGCAGGUGUGUUUUCUGAUUCUGUUGCAGCUGCCAGUGAUCACACUGUCUGCAGCUGGUACAGCUUGGCUCCUUUCUUCAGCAGGAAACCCUGUUCAUUCAGGGAACUCACCAGACCUUCAAAAUCCAUCACCUGGAGGGAAUCAACCAAUGACUGAAUAAACUAUCCAGCAUGCAUGCAAUGAUAGUUUUUAGAGUAGCACCAGGUUUUACUGCAUGUAUGUAUAGACUCGUGGUUUGGAUUACUGGGAACGUUUGUGCUGAAAGGAGUCAUUUAAACCUACAGAAAUCUUUCUAUUAUGCAUCUCUUAAUGUAAUUCUAUGUUUUUCUCAUUUCCUGAGGGGUUGGUUUAGUGACUCCUACUGCAUUAAGAUUAUGAGAAGCACCACAUACUUUUCCUCAGGUGGAGUUAUCAUGCAACCUUGAAUAAAGUCCUAACUUUUCAUUUCAUCCAUA